UAUUUAGGGUUUUCGAUUGAUGACACUGGCACCGCGCCACUGUUUUACACUGGCACUCCAGUACAAAUCGAGUGCACGCUUGAAUGUGUGCGUGCAGUUGCCCGAGCUGUCAUUUAACAGGUGAUCUUCGGCCAGAUCUGCAAGUUGAUAAAUGUGGUCACAAAUCGUGGAAUCGAGGUGCUUCCCACAAAAUGCUGCUGGGCGCUUGUCGCAGUGUGGUUGCUUAUGUGAAUUGCAUUUUUACCGAUGCAUAUUUAAUGCCGUUCUUAGCCAGCCCUAGAUUUGAUAAUCUAAUGAAGGAGCACAGUCAAACACAAAAUUGUUGGAGCAGAGGAAGAUUAAGCAUAAGCAUAAGAGAUCACCCGUGGCUGCUACUCCGUUAUAAAAAUUGUUGGAGCAGAGGAAGAUUGCAUGAAAACUAAAGCUUUUUUGAAUCUGCGAACAAUAUCCAGUGUUUCCACUUCAUGCAAUGUGGGAUUCUUGUGGAUACACACAGGCCACUGCGGGUAAACUUUGGAGCUGUUUAUUUCGGGGGAAAAUGCUACCGUCAUCUACAAGCAGCAGUCUUUGGAAAAGUUGUCUAUG